GAUGAACGCUGGCGGCGUGCCUAAUACAUGCAAGUCGAGCGAACAGACGAGGAGCUUGCUCCUCUGACGUUAGCGGCGGACGGGUGAGUAACACGUGGAUAACCUACCUAUAAGACUGGGAUAACUUCGGGAAACCGGAGCUAAUACCGGAUAAUAUAUUGAACCGCAUGGUUCAAUAGUGAAAGACGGUUUUGCUGUCACUUAUAGAUGGAUCCGCGCCGCAUUAGCUAGUUGGUAAGGUAACGGCUUACCAAGGCAACGAUGCGUAGCCGACCUGAGAGGGUGAUCGGCCACACGGGAACUGAGACACGGUCCAGACUCCUACGGGAGGCAGCAGUAGGGAACCUUCCGCAAUGGGCGGAAGCCUGACGGAGCAACGCCGCGUGAGUGAUGAAGGUCUUCGGAUCGUAAAACUCUGUUAUUAGGGAAGAACAAAUGUGUAAGUAACUAUGCACGUCUUGACGGUACCUAAUCAGAAAGCCACGGCUAACUACGUG
rnacentral:rRNA from 1 species